rnacentral:misc_RNA from 1 species
GGCUGCAGUAAGGUUGAUGAGUUAUUAUCUUCUAGCUUUAUUGUUGUUCAGGAAAACUGAUAAUGGCGAUUAAUCAGAUGAGCCAAAAGGACUGAUAUUAAGUGAAAGAACUAGACUACUACAGCAUAUAGCAUAAUCUUAAAAUGAGUUAGACAAGUGGAAAAACAGGCAUGAGGCCUGCUGCUGAGUCUAUGCUGCUAGGCAAUUGGAGUUCAAGGGUGAUUUUGCAAGCCUU